GGUUGUGGUUCAGUGGUAGAAUACUUGCCUCACGUGAGUGAGGCACUGGGUUCAAUUCUCAGAACCG
rnacentral:tRNA from 1 species